GACGAACGCUGGCGGCGUGCUUAACACAUGCAAGUCGAACGGUGAAGCGCCUUCCUUUUUGGUGGGUGUGGAUGAGUGGCGAACGGGUGAGUAACACGUGAGUAACCUGCCCCCUUCUUCUGGAUAACCGCAUGAAAGUGUGGCUAAUACGGGAUAUUCUGGGUCUGUCGCAUGAUGGGUCUGGGAAAGAUAUUGUUUCGGUGGGGGAUGGGCUCGCGGCCUAUCAGCUUGUUGGUGGGGUGAUGGCCUACCAAGGCGGUGACGGGUAGCCGGCCUGAGAGGGUGGACGGUCACACUGGGACUGAGACACGGCCCAGACUCCUACGGGAGGCAGCAGUGGGGAAUAUUGCACAAUGGGCGCAAGCCUGAUGCAGCGACGCCGCGUGAGGGAUGGAGGCCUGCGGGUUGUGAACCUCUUUCGCCAGUGAAGCAGGCCUGCCUCGUUUGUGGGUGGGUUGACGGUAGCUGGAUAAGAAGCGACGGCUAACUACGUG
rnacentral:rRNA from 1 species